AGAAGAGUAGCAUAAAGACUAUUGUACUUUGUUUACACCAAAGGGGUGAUGUUAAUCCUCUUCUU
rnacentral:tRNA from 1 species